rnacentral:rRNA from 1 species
CCUACGGGUGGCAGCAGUGAGGAAUAUUGGUCAAUGGGCUGACGCCUGAACCAGCCAAGUCGCGGGAGGGAAGACUGCCCUAUGGGUUGUAAACCUCUUUUGUCAGGGAGCAACGCCGGCUACGUGUAGCCGGACUGAGAGUACCUGAAGAAAAAGCAGCGGCCAACUCCGUGCCAGCAGCCGCGGUAAUACGGAGGAUGCGAGCGUUAUCCGGAUUGAUUGGGUUUAAAGGGUGCGUAGGCGGAAUGCCAAGUCAGCGGUAAAAUCGCGGGGCUCAACCUCGCUCCGCCGUUGAAACUGGCGUUCUUGAGUGGGCGAGAAGUAUGCGGAAUGCGUGGUGUAGCGGUGAAAUGCAUAGAUAUCACGCAGAACUCCGAUUGCGAAGGCAGCAUACCGGCGCCCAACUGACGCUGAAGCACGAAAGCGUGGGUAUCGAACAGGAUUAGAUACCCGUGUAGUC